UACGUAGGUGGCAAGCGUUAUCCGGAAUUAUUGGGCGUAAAGCGCGCGCAGGCGGUCUUUUAAGUCUGAUGUUAAAGCCCACGGCUCAACCGUGGUUCGCAUUGGAAACUGGGAGACUUGAGUACUGAAGAGGAAAGUGGAAUACCACGUGUAGCGGUGAAAUGCGUAGAGAUGUGGUGGAACACCAGUGGCGAAGGCGACUUUCUGGUCAGUAACUGACGCUGAGGCGCGAAAGCGUGGGGAGCAAACAGGA
rnacentral:rRNA from 1 species